AUGCUCCUGCUCCUGCCUCAACUUUCCAAAGUGCUGGGAUUAUAAGUGCACGCCAUCAUGCCCGACCUGACUUGAUGACUUCUUAAGAUUCAGUGAAGCCUGACUCAUUGCUCCAGCUGGAGAGUUGAUUAUGACACAAUGCCUGCCUUGAAGAGUCUCAAGCUUAGCUACUUUAGAUCACAUUUCUAAUGCUCUGGCAGCUCCUCACCCCAGAGGGAUUUUCACUGAGUAAGGUGAGUACAUUUCAAGGCCUUAUAUGGAAUAAAAUAGCAGGGUAUGAAGGCGGGGUGGGUGAUUCAGUGAGUAGGGUGUCUGAGAAUUAAAAAUCAAAGUUAACUGAGAUUCUUUGAUGGAAAAAUAGGGGCUAGAUAACCUGGUUCAAAAGAAAUAAGAACCUGCCUAAAACCUAGUUGCCACAAUAAAAUCAAACCUGAACAUGUGAGGUCUGAAAAAGUUCAUAGAUUUUAACUUUAGUACUGAGUUAAACACACCUGUGUACUUUCUGGCUUAAGUCAGAAGCAGAAAACUAGAAUCCUGUGAGAAACACUCAUUUGGAAGACAGGACAAGUUAAGUGCCCAAGCUUCACUGAUACUCUCUCUGCUACCUCAGAGAGUGCAGCUCCUUCAAAUAUACACUCCUCAAAUCUGGAUAAAAGCUUCGGUGGGUCCCACUAGGUCAAUCUUUUCCUGUAAGUAGUCAUCAAAAAAAAGUACCUCGGUGCUAGAGUUGGAGUCAGCACCAGUCUUGAAGACAUAAACAGUCUUGACAGCACCUAGAAUAAACAUGUGCUUGUCUGUAUCAUAGAAGGACAACAGAUACAUUUUAAGGGGAAAGCCCAAAUCAGCUGGAAAUACCUUUGCUCUGAUGUGAGGGCUUGAAUCCUCCCCUAGAACACAGGUAAAUAGAUUUAAUAUCUUCUGAGUUUUUGGCUUCUUUACUCUGGAUUACCAAAUUUUGGAAUUGCUAUUAAGAAUGAAGAUACAGAACCCAUCAAGGUUUAAUUGCUUAGUCUUUCUGCCCUGGGUAAAAUGUAGGUAAGAUUUUCUUCUACGUCUCUCCCAAUCUAGUCCUUUGACCAGUUCUAACUCAGUGAAAUACCCCUAAAGCUUUACUGUUCGUUUGGUCAAGCUACUUUUCUUCUACCUUCAUUUUCCUCAUCCGUUAAAUGUGUUUGGUAAUGUAUACUGUAUAUACUUUAUACUCCUGGGAUGAUAGCAAAUCAGAUAAUAUAGCUAAAAAUGAAGUCUACAAAAAAAAUGAGUCUUUGCAUGUGUAAAAUUCAGCCUCCUCAUGGUAAAUCCAAACCACAAUUGUUGUUUUCAAAAUAAAGAUUAUAAAUAGAAAGCAAAAUAAAAACACAUGCCUCAGUGUAGACUGGUAUGAGAAUUUUAAGGCAUGCAUAGGUUCAAUGGAAAUGCUGACUUAUCAGAAGCAGGGAAAAAAAGCCCAGUGCCUGAGCCAUAGUGUCAAUAGCUAGGCUUAUGUUUAUAAUUAAUGGGUUGCGGCAAUUCUGAUAACAUUAUUGCAUGUUUAUAGAUGAAUGUAUUUUGCUCUACCUCUUGUCAUUUGAAGUUUCAAUAUAAGCCCUGGUUUGAGUCCUAGUUUGAAAUGUAAAUGAUAUUGGACAUGAAAUAAGCUUCUUAAACCCGCAUCACACCCUCUCAGGAGUCUACAUGCCUUGUGAACCACUACACUGCUGUUCAAAAAGUGCCCUUCUAAUGAGGCCAAUUCUGACUAAUGCAUAUUCCAAGAAUAAUACUUGACCAAAAUUGAAUGCAAUUCUCGUGUACUUAUUAUAAUUUUCUAUGACAGAGAGCAGAGGCUAAAUUCGGUGAAAGUAUUGUUUUUCUUCUAAGCUUGGGUCUGCCAAAAUUUGUUUUUAUUCCCCUCCCUAAUCCCCCCGCCCCCCCGCAGUUAUUCCUUCUGGAAUGAUGUGUUGAUCAUGACCAACUGGGAAACUUGCUGGCAUCUGUAUUGUGCCCGUUUUCACCACUUUCCUUUGCCCCUUAGAUAGGUUUUUGGUACAGAACGGAAAUAUUCCCAAGUGGAAGAAUCAUUAACAACCACAAUGUCAAGAGCAGCCUUGAAAGGAGGCAUCUGCUAUUCCAUAUGUACAGGGAACUUGUCAUGCCGGCAAUGUAAAAGCCAUUUGAGGUCUGUAGUUUCCUCUUCCCCACAGAAGGAAAUGUGGCAGUGAGUCAAAUUGAUACAGGAAUUUUGAAUAUGUGUGGUCACACGAAGUUACAGAAGAUUAUAAAUUCAGCAUUAGAAACCGAAAGAAAAAAAAAGACAAGCCACAGGUAGUAUUCUCAUAUUAUAUUUGCUUGAGCUGUCAGAACAAAAUACUAGAGAGAAAUAUUUUUAUGACAUGGAGACGGAUCUGCUUGCCAAAAUUAUUUUCCACUAACUUAAAGCUAUGUAUCACUGUGCAAAUCUAAACACUCCUAUCCUUGUAGCAUCAACCAUUCAUCUUAUUACUGGCUAAAGAAUGCCCAUCUCAAAUAAACAAGUGUACAAGGUAGUGAGGUACAGGGUGUGAGGCACCAGAGGAGGAAGGCGCCCGCCUUCAGUGGGAUGGAUGACAUGUGUUCAAAGAUCUUGAGUAGCUUUAACUUGACGGCAAGGGCUACAGUCUAGGCUCCAAAUAUAUAGUACACUUCACUCUGUGUUUGUUUGUUAAGAAGUGAGAAUUGAUCACCAAGUUCAGUGGGAACUGUUGUAUGGGGAUUCAGUAGGCUUGUAUUUUUUUCUCCAAAGCUCACUGCAUGUUUUUUCUUGCCUUUCCUGUGACCCUUACUUAGCCAUGUCUCCAGAUGAUCUCCUAGAGCAAAUCUUUAAAUUUUAAAAACAUCCUUGUGAAGUUAUGUAGACAUUACCAUAUGCUGAACCUAUCAUUACUGUUGGACUUUGCUUCCCAGACACGGAGAAUAAAGCAGGUGUCUACUUCUUCCUCUUUUGUGGUGUCUUCCCAUUUAAAUGGCUUAUUGAUGCAAGUACUGCAGCACAAAUGAAUGCUGAUGCCAGCUCUGCCCAUGUACAUGCCCACAGAAGAAGCACUGAAGGGAUAGCAAGAAUGCAUCACACACUCCUCAUGACUACUGACCCACACUCCUUGUCCUGGUUACCUUAAGAAGUCUCUGUGAUCCACUCAGGAUUCAGGGCACAAGCAGUAUCAUGGGCCACUCAGACCUAUAGCACCCAGGACACCAGGACAGAAUAUUCAGAGAGUCCCUUCAAACAUGGAGACUAUCUUGGCAGUAGUGUUGGAGAAUGGUGCCUGUGGUCCACAAAUGUUUAUCAAUGAGGGGAGGCUGAUGACAACUGAUCUUUAUUAAGGGACUUAUAUCUCACAAGGUGCUUUCACAUCAAUGAUUUAAUUUCCACAAUUUAUCUGGGGUGUAGUUUUUUUUAUUAUUCAAAUGGGAAAACUGGGCAGUGAGUAGUUCACUCAUCCAACUAAUAUUUAUUGAGGGCUUGCUAUGGACCUCUGUUCUAGGCACUAGGGGUAAAAGAGUAAACAGAACAGACAAAUUUCCUUCUCAGGUCACUUGUAUUCUAGUUGAUGCAGAGAAGGGAGACAGACAAUAGACGAACACACAGGUGAAGUCUACAGUCUGUCAGAUGGAGAUACUGCAAUGGAGGGCAAUGAUUCCCAGUGGGGAAUAGGGAAGAGUUUCCAUUGUAAAUAAGGCAGUCAGAAAGUGCCUUGUUGAAAAGGUGACCCUUGAGUAGAUAGCUAUAGAAGCUAAAAGAGCUAAUCAGACGGACACUCAGAAGCAGCAUCCUAGAGGCCCCCUGAAGUGCCAAGCAUUACUGCUUGAGUUAGUGAAUAGCGGAGUCACCCCCUGAUGGAUUUUAGGGAAAUUUCAAUGGAAGGAAACUGGGAAAAGAUAUUUACCAAAGGAGACAAAGGGAUUUCACUACUCACACCCUAGUUUCAGUGUGAGCCAGUUUGAUAUCAGCUCUAACAAGAAACCAAGGCUGAGCCUGCAUGGAGGAGUAAUGUGAUUGGGUUUGAUCUGCCUGAAGUAUUGAGAAUAGACUCUAGAGAGGCAAGGGUGAAAAUAUGGAGACCAGUUAGGUGGCCACUGCAGCAAUCUAGUGAGAGGUGAUGGAUCUGGUGUGAGAGAGGAAGACCAUGUGAAGCAUUACAUGAGGAACUGAAAGAUUGGAGUUGCAAUCAACUGAGAUAGGAAAGACUGGAGGUGAAGCAGGAUUGGAAAACAAGAUCAAAAAUUUGAUUUUAGACAUGUUAAGUUUGAGCUGAGUUAAGUUUAUUGACUUAAAUGCACCAAUACAACAGCCCUGUGAGCUAAGUACUGUGUUACUAUCUUCAAUUUUUAGUUGAGAUAACUUGGCUCAGAGAGUUGUGAUGACUUACCCGUAGUCACACAGCAAGCAGAUAGUACAUCAAGGACUCAAGCAAGAUUUUUCAAUCUGAGUUGAAUGCUUUUCCUAGGACCCCACAGAUGAGUACCAAACAGUGCUACCGAAGUAGAUAACUGAUGAGAAUUUCUUUUUCUGUGACUCACUCUAAGGCAGGAUUUAAAUCAAAACUUUUAAAGUCUAAGAUUUAGAGAAUCUGCUGUAAAAGGGGAGAAGAGUUUAAUUUUAUAUCCACUUGAGAAACCAAAGUUUUUUUCUUUCACCCUUAAAAAAUAAAACAAAACCGAGGUGAGCCUAAGGCCAGCAUGCUGAUUGCAUCAGAGAGACGAAGAUGAAAUGAGGAGAGAGGAAAACGGGCAUGAGCCCUAAAUCAGCACGUUAAAGGGGCUGGCCUGGGAGGUUUGUAUUAUCAGACGUUAGUCAGAGAGGGACUUUCUUUUGCUGGCUUAGAAGAAAACUGAAAUAACACAUUAAUUUUAGGUCCUUUGAUAUUUUUUCCUGGAGAUGUUUUGUUUUGAUACAUCCAACAACAGCCAAAGAGAAAGCCUCAGAAGACAGACAUAAUAAAAACAGCUGAUGAUCCCUAGUCACUAAGCAUAAGUUCCACUGUCUUAGUCUUGCCCAGCCCAAAUCAGCAGCUCACUAAGAAGCUACAGGACAUCCUGGAGGAUUUAAAGAGCAAGCCUCAAUGUUUCAAAGUUCCAGCAUCAGGACUUCUUCCUUCAGUUAAUGGCUUUGAGAACUGUUAAAAUUCAGAUGUUUCUGAGAAGGAUAAUGUUUUAAUUAAUAAAGAGAUCACUGAGUGUGUUGGAGGGAUUUACUAACAGAAAACUAAAUGGCUCAGCAUCGAAAGCUCUUUCAUUUUUGGGCAGAGGGACGGCUGGCUUCCAGUAGUUUAUAAACCAGGGUACCAUUGUUCGGGUAAAGAAAUGAGAGGGAAAACUGGAAUGUGUACUUACUCAUUCAACCAUCAUUUAUUGUGUAAAAAUAGUGACUGAUACGGUUUGGCUUUGUGUCCCCACCCAAAUCUCAUCUUGAAUUGUAAUUCCCACACCUGGUGGGAGGUGAUUGGAUCAUGAGGUGGUUUUCCCCAUGCUGUUCUCCUGAUGGUGAGUGAGUUCUCACAAGAUCUGAUGGUUUAAAAGUGUUUGUCAGUUCCCCCCUUUCUCUCUCCUGCCACCAGGUAAGAUAUGCCUUGCUUUCUCCUCACCUUGCACCAUGACUAUAAGUUUCCUGAGGACUCCCCAGCCAUGCAGAACUGUGAGCCAAUUAAACCUCUUUCCUUUAUAAAUUACCCAGUCUCAGGCAGUUCCUUAUACCAGUGUGAGAGCAAACUAAUACAGUGACAUAACUAUAAAAAUUGGGACCUGGAAGAAAGAGUUGAGAGAUGCUAUAAGUGAAGUACAUUUUUCAUCUUUUAUAUUGCAGAGUCAACGAUAUUGUAUAAAACUGACAAAUCAGUGAAAAUGAAAACAAUGACUAGAAUGACUAAAAACAGAAAUUGCUGGGGGGUUUUGUUUUUUUGUUUUUCUCCCUCUGUUGCCCAGACUGGAGCACGGUGGUGCGAUCAUGGUUCACUGCAGCCUCGAACUCCUGGCCUCAAGUGAUCCUUCUGUCUCAACCUCCCAAAGUGUUGGGAUUAUAAGCAUGAGGCACUGUUUCCUGUCUUAAAAACAGGAAUUGUUUAAGGUGGUUUUGGGAGCACAUGGAAAUCAGGAGGGGGUUAAGGAAGGAUGGAUAAAAUAUCUUGCAUGUUAUGCUCUUCUGUACUGCUUGCCUUUUUUAAAAAAAAUGUACGUAUGUAUAUUUCAUGUAAAAGUUUGAACUGAAUAAGUACAUUAAUAUUUUAUUUAUGUUAACAAGGCUGUGGGAAUAAAUGGUGAAUAAGACACACUUGUUUUCUGCUAUCAUAGAAGCUUAAGAACUGAACACUCUGAAGCAGAGGAAGUGUUAAAAAAAAUCUGAGGUAAGGUACAACAAAGGAAAAACUGAAGUAGGAUAAAAAGAGGGAAACUUGGAGCUUGUUCCUGCUAGUGCCUCAUCCCUCUGUCUCUGAUUAAGUUAAAAUGAAGAAAGGACAUGCUAUAUUCCAAUUGGUAGACAUUUUGCAGUUGUGCAAAGGCAAGCUAUGCCUGGCCCUACCAUAUUCCUUACCAUACUCCUCCUACUUCCUUUUCUUUUUCCUGAAAAGAGCAACUUUGUAGAUCCUUUUUUCAGUAGGAAUUGAUCCACCCACAGAAGAAGAUGUGUAGGAUGAGUGGGAAACAGGCACAGGAGAGGAACUCAGUUCUUUCUUACAUUCAUUUCCCUUGGGAUUCUGCAACUCUGCCCUGGCUGUAUACUUGCUUCCCAGACUCCUCAACUGAAUCAUAAGGAAGACGUUUCCAAAAAUAAAUUGCCAGAAGCAAAGGGGUUAAUAAAUUUAAAUAUGCUUAAGGUGAAUCAUUCACAGAACUUCAGACUUCAAACAUGGAAUCAUUAAAACUAUUAGUGUUAACUCCAAGUUCUGUUUCUCAAAAGCUGGGGAUGUCAGGCUACUUCUGUUUUAAUAACUCUGGCAACUCUUUCUUCACAUAAUUAGUUUCAGUGUAUCAAGACUUUUUUUCUUAGCCCAUAUUGAAGGAUUCCUGAAAUGGUUAGUUCCUUAGAAAAAAACGUUAAAACUCAAUGGCUCAAAGUCACUACCAACCCAGGAGAAUCAGCAUAAUUUUACAAUUAGAACUCAGGCUUUUUACUGACAGUAACACUAGUUUACAAUUGCACUCAUGCAUUCAUGGUCUGCAAUCAACAAAAUUUAAUUCGUGUCUAUUGUGUGACAAAAUUACAAUAGGUGUAGAUACUAGGAUGAAAUAACAAGUCCUUGCUCUUAAGAACUUGUGAAUUGUGAACUUGUAAAAUCAAAAUAAAGCAUAAUAAAUGCCUUAAUAAAGCUGUAAUAGAAUAAUAUUUUUGUUUCUUUCCUAUUAAGUAAGCUUAUCAGCAUAGUUUCCCAUCAAUCUUUAUGUAUUAGGAAGAGGAGAAUGAUAGAUGCUACUGAAGGGGAUUAAAGGGUGCUUCUUUGAAAUACGCCACUUUGGUAUAAGGAUUAUUCUGAGCUGGAGUUAGUUGAGAAAAACUGAUGCAGGAAAAGCUUUCAACCCUCCCCUUUCAGUAUAAAAGCAGGGGACAAAUUUUCAUUUAUAAAAGUGUCUCCCUCUCCCAUACCAGGAAGAGGAAGAGGACUCACAUCAGUGGAGAAGGCACCAGUUUGAGUACGUAGAGUAUGCAUAACAAACCCUACUGAACAACCCUUAUCUUCCACUCUUUCUCCCCAUGUAUUUACCUUUCCACAAUUUACUGGCCCUAGAAGCCAAACCCUCUCCCUUCCUUUGUCUGGUUUCUUCUCCAGAAUGUAUUGAUUUGUUAAAAUGACAUAUAAACUCAUUGGUCUAACCCCUUCUUUGAGUCUUUACCUCUUUUCCAUGAAGGCCUCUGUAUAGACAUAAUCAACUCUUCUGUUAAUCUGUCAUUUGUCGGUUUAAUUUGAAGGACCCUAGUUGCCGAGCCUAGGAGAAAAAGUUGUUCUUCCCUUAAGCCACCUAUAGAUGGAUAUGAUGUAAGAAAAGUCCAUUUUAUAGAGGAAAACAAAGUAGAAAUCCAGUAUCAUCCAGCUUGCAGGAUUAUGAGAAGAAAUGAUGAUGAAAAUUGAAGAGUUCAAACUCAUAUAAUUGCAUUUCACCACUCCCUCUCACCUUGAAAAAGAAGCUUGGUUAGGGUGGGUGUAUUCAUCUGUUUUGCGUUGAUAUAAAGGAAUACCUAAGACAGGAUAAUUUGUAAGGAAAAGGGGUUUAUUUGGUUCAUGGUUCUGCAGGUUGUACAAGAAGCAUGAUGCCAGCAUCUGCUUCCAGUGGGGGCUUUGGGGAAGGCUUAGGGGAGCCAGUAUCACAUGGCAAGUGGAAGAAAGCAAGAGAGACAGGAGGAGGUGCAAGGCUCCUUUUAACAAUCAAAUAUUUUGGUAACUAAUAAGGUGAGAAUUCAUUCAUUACUAUGAGGGCAGCACCAACUUGUUCAUGAAGGACCAGCCCCCAUUGCCCAAACACCUCCUACUAGGCCCCACCUCCAACAAUGGGGAUGAAAUUUCAACAUGAGAUUUGGAGGGGACAGUUAUUCAAACCAUAUCCAUGAGGUACAUAGAAAUAUCACUAUAGGUAUAAACACAUCAGAGAUAAAGAUAGCCUGGAGAUGUUCCAUGCCUCUAGUAGAAGCCAGCAUUCAGCCUGAUAUACUGCCAAUAAUUUAUAUCGUAAUUAUUCUUUCUCAAAAGGACUAUAGGCAUUUAUCAUCAUGACUGUGCAUUGAAGAAAUGAAAGUAACCAGAUUUAGUGGAAAUUAUUGGACACUGAUUGUGAACUCACACUAAUUCCUGAGACUCAAAGUCACUGUAGCUCAACAGUCAGAGUAGGCAGUAAUGGAGUUUGGGUGAUCAAUGUAAUUUUGGACCAGAGCUGUCUCACUAUAGACCAAUGGAGCUCCAAUACUAUCUCAUGUUUAUUUUCAAAUUCCAGAAGGUAUCAUUGAAAUAUACAUACUCAACAACUGGCAGACUCCCUAUAUUGGUUUUUUGACCUAUGGAAUAAGAACUAUUGUGAUAAGAAAGAACAAGUGGAAAUCCCCCAAAUCUCCUCCACCUACCAAAAUAUUAAACCCAAAGUAAUACAACAGUCCUGAAAGGACUAUAGAGAUUAAUGACAUAAUCAAGGAAUUAAAUGAUGGAGAAGUGGUGAUACCUAACACAGCCCUGUUCAAAUAACCUUUUAAUUCUGAGCAUAAGACAGACAGAUUCUGGAAAGUGACAGUGUAUGAUCAUAAAUUCAAUAAGAUGGUGAGUCAAAUCACAGUUGCUCUUACAGAUGACAGAUGUGGUUUUUUUACUGGAACAAAUCAACACAUCUCUGCUGGUACCUUGCAUGGUUAUUAAUCUAGUAAAUGUUUUGUGGUUGUUAUUUAGCCUGUUAGUAAAAACCACCAAAAGCUUUGUGCUUUCAACUUGAAGGAGCACCAAUAGACAUUCACUAUUUUACCACUGUUCAAGGUUAUAUUAACUCUCAAUAUCCAAUCUUAAUCCAAAGGACGUUGGUCGUAUCUCCAUUCCACAGAACAAACGCUGUGCAAAUACACUGAGGAUAUCAUGCUGAUUGAAUGUGUUGAGUAAAAUACAGUAAUUACUCAAGAAACCUUGGUAAGAUAUAUACAUACUAGAAGAUGGGGCAUAAAUCCUACAAAAAUUCAAGGGCCUAUGACAAAGUAAUACACACCAGAUUUACCCUUCUACCACAAGCAGUUGUAAAACUGGACACCAUUUUUAUUCAGAAAUGUACUGGAGGUUCUAGUCAGUGCAAAAAGGCAAGAAAAAUGAAUUAAAGCCUUAAAUAUUAGAAAGGAAGUGGUAAAAAGUAUUUGAAUGAUGGUAUAUGUAGAAAUCACAAGGAAUUUUUAAAAGUUACCUUGCUAGAAUAAUUUCAAAUGCUGAAUUAAUAAACUAAAUUAAUAAAUUAACAAACUAAUUAUAUUACAUUUGUGGUCCAUACAGUAUAAUAAUACUAAGCAAUGAAAAGUGGUGAACUACGGAUAAAAGCAACAAGGAAGAUUCUGAAAACAUGAUGGGUGUAAGAAGUCACUUACAAAACAGCAUAGUGUAUGAUUCCACAAAUGUGAAAUUCUAAAAUGUGGGAAAUAUAGUUUGUAGUGACUGAAAGACUACAGUUGUCUCAGCCCAAGAGUGGGGAAUUAUCAAGUGCAAAGGAAAAGAAGAGAACUUUUUAGGGUGAUAGAAAUGUUUUAUAUCUUGACUGUGGUGGUAGUUACUCAAGUGUAUAUAUUUGGCAAAAGUCACCAAACUGUAGACUAAAAUGGGUGUAUUUUAUUGUAUUUAAUCAUACUUCAAUUAUGUUGCUUUUUAUAAAUCUAAACCUAUUGUCUCAGGGAAAUUUUUAUUGAUACAAGAUGAAGAACAAGUUGUUCUCUCUGGUCCUUGUUAUCACUAAAAGAGGUCCACUGCUGCCAUUGCUUUAGGAGGAAUGUUUAGUGACUUAAGUGAUUUUCCAAUUCUCCCUUCUGGACCAGAACUUUCCUAGCUGCUCUCACAAUUGUGUGGAGUCUGAUCCCUAGAAUAAAGUUUUUAUUUCAUAAUACUCUUAGUUGAUCUGCUCCUCCACAUGGUUCCUUAACAGGAAUCAUCCCCAAGUUACACACAGAAAAAUAUACAGAAGAGUCAAAGGGCUAGCUCUUUGUACUUCCAGGAACUAAACUUCAGAUCUUACAACCAUGGCCUGGAGAGCCUUCCAUAACCCACUAGGUUAGUGUUUUCGGUUUGUUUGUUUGUGGUGAGAACAUUUAACAUGAGAUCUGUCCUCUGGACAAAAUUUUAAACGCACACUACAGUAUUGUAAACUAUAGGCACCAAGCUGUACAGCAGAUCUCUAAAACUUACUUUGAAAAACUGAAACUAUAUACUUGCUGAACAACUACUCCCUAUUUUUCUUUCCCUCCCAGUCCCUGGCAAACACCAUUCUACUCUCUGUUUCCAUGAGUUUAACUAUUUUAGAUACCCUGUAUAAGUGAAAUCAGGCAGUACUUGUCCUCCUGUGACUGGCUUAUUUCACAGAGCUUAU